rnacentral:rRNA from 1 species
AUGGUGAACCAUGGGAAGGAGAAGGCUCGAUUUUUGUUCUCGAUCUGCUCUCCGACGGCGGCGGCCUUCCCCGAGCUUGGCGAGCUGGAGCUGUCCCUUCCCGUCGUCGAUCUGCUCUCCGCGACGCCGCCUGCCUCCCCGGACCAUCCCCUCUCGCUCAGCCGCGUCUCCCUCCCUGGAGCAGCCGCUCCCGCCCAACCCAAAGCCGCCGGCCGGAGCUACGCCGCAGCACGCUCCCUCCCUCCUCUUCUUGGGGACCGGAUUGUGGCCGAGGAGGAUCUUGCCCUUGUCGCCCAGCAGCUCCCGCUCCAACGGGCUCGUCCACAAAUCCGGCAGCACCAGCCGCUCUUCCCUCUUCCGGAAGCAGAUACAGUUUUUCUAGGUGGGCGUGGUUUUGGAACAGCCAUGUCUUCUCUAAUUUUGACAGUGCUUGAGUUUAGAGUAUGGUUAUACUUUUGCUUAGGCAGGGUAAUUACUUUUCUUACUGGUGCUCUUGAUUAUGAAGAUGGUCAACUAGACACUAAGAGAUAUGGUGAGCAAUAUGCUAGCAAAGGGGAAGAUGUUGACCUCAUGUUGCUCCCUGAGCAGAUACCUUCCUAUAGAGAUCCGUUAACUCAUGGAGCAAAUCCUUACAGUACCUUCUUCCCGAUGAAUGUAGCUCUGGCGGCAGCACGGGCAGACGAGCAGCAGCAGUACGGGUAG